AUUGAACGCUGGCGGCAGGCCUAACACAUGCAAGUCGAACGAGUGGCGGACGGGUGAGUAAUGUCUGGGAAACUGCCCGAUGGCGGGGGAUAACUACUGGAAACGGUAGCUAAUACCGCAUACCAUCGGAUGUACCCAUAUGGGAUUAGCUAGUAGGUGGGGUAAAGGCUCACCUAGGCGACGAUCCCUAGCUGGUCUGAGAGGAUGACCAGCCACACUGGAACUGAGACACGGUCCAGACUCCUACGGGAGGCAGCAGUGGGGAAUAUUGCACAAUGGGCGCAAGCCUGAUGCAGCCAUGCCGCGUGUAUGAAGAAGGCCUUCGGGUUGUAAAGUACUUUCAGCGGGGAGGCGUUACCCGCAGAAGAAGCACCGGCUAACUCCGUGCCAGCAGCCGCGGUAAUAC
rnacentral:rRNA from 1 species